GAGGGCAUAGCUCAGUGGUAGAGCACAUGCUUAGCAUGCACCAGGUCCUGGGUUCAAUCCUCAGUACCUCG
rnacentral:tRNA from 1 species